rnacentral:rRNA from 1 species
AUGGAAGGUCUGAUGCAUCUUGACUUAUCAAGUUGUUGGAGUCUGAAAGAACUCCCACAUUCGUUUGUGAGGCUCAAAGAGUUGGUAUAUCUGGACUUUUCAUACAGUCCUGGUGUUUUAGGAAUACCUGGAUCUUUGGCCGGCCUUACCAAACUCCAACAUUUGGGAUUAUCAAAAUGUAAAAAUCUCGGAGGAUUGCCCGAAGUCAUCGGCAAUCUCAGUGAGCUCCGCUAUCUGAAUCUAUCAGACUGCAUGCAUCAUAUCUUCUUUGACGGCUCGUCAAUAGAUCAAACCGAGAGUUUUAUUGACCAUAUUUGCACCCUUCCUUAUAUGGAGCACCUGGAUCUGUCUUGUAAUGGUUAUCUUAUAAGUAUACCAGAGAGUGCUCGUUGCCUCAGGAAACUAGUCCUUGACAAGUGCAGGCAAGUUGCCAGGCUUCCAGAAUGUGUGGCUAAAAUGGACCCUCGAAGCCUUUUUGGCUUAUUGUUGCCAACAUUUUCUGUAACUGCAGAUGACAGUAAAUGUAACACCAACCUUGGCUUGCUUGAGCAUAUAAAUCCGGAUGAGCUAAAAAUUGAGAAACUUGAAAAUGUAAAGUUCCGAGAAGAGGCACGCAAUAUAAAGCUGAGUGAGAAACAGAGGAUUGGAGAACUGAAAUUAAUCUGGGACCCACAAGCUAAGAGAUCUGUGGAUGACAUGGAGUUGUUGAGGGAGCUAGUGCCACCAACCACUUUGAAGAGGUUUGUGAUAUGUGGUUAUAGUAGUGUCAGCUUUCCAGACUGGCUAAUGAGUAUUGGCAAUUAUCUCCCUAAUGUUGUCCGAAUGGAGAUGUUUGAUUUGCCCAACUGCAACAGUUUUCCACCCCUCGCCCAACUACCACCAAACCUCCGGGUGCUUACUCUGAAACGCAUGGAAAGCCUGGAAGAAUGGAACACGACACUCUCUAUUGGUGAGGAUGAGCUCAUGUUCCGUAAGCUUGAGAAAGUGAAUAUACAUUUUUGCCCCAAGUUGAGGAUAACACCACACCUUCCUAGAGCUGCAUCUUGGAGUAUAAUGGAAAGUGAUAAUUUGCUCAUAUCAUGGGCCGAAAGCGUGUCACACAAUGGUGCUUCCUCAUCUUCUCCAGUAGGAGUAUCUACUAAUCUGGCAGUUGAAAGCAGCAAGGUGCCUCUGCGCCAGUGGGCAUUGCUUCACCAUCUACCUGCCCGCAGUGAUUUGGACAUCCAAUGUUGCAAUGAUUUGACAAGCACACCAGAGAUCACCUGGGCGCUCCAGGCCCUCAAAUCACUGACACUGCAGUUCUCUGCCCAAUCAAAACUGCCGGAAUGGUUAGGUGAGUUGACAUCUCUUGAGAAACUAGCGAUAGUGUACAACAAGGAGCUAGAGGAAUUGCCCGAUAACAUGAGGCGACUGAAACAGCUACAAUCAUUGACACUGGAUGCCUGUUGUAGCUUGGAACGUCUGCCACUAUGGUUAGGAGAACUCACCUCUCUCAAAAAACUUGCAAUUUUUGGUUGCAAUGCUAUCACGACAUUGCCAGAUAUCUUACAACAGCUCAUAAAUCUCCAAGAAUUAGAAAUUGUCGACUGCCCUAACUUAGAGCAGUGGUGUGAAGCAGAGGAGAACAAGACGAUGCUUGCUCAUAUAGAACAAACGAGUAUCAUCUCUUUGUAUCUUUCCCCGAUGAGGGAAGCCAUUCCCGCCACCUCCAGCCGCCGCUCUUUCCCAUUCUGGUGGCCUUGCUGCAAACAAUGA